CAGGUGACUGUCAUGGGUAUUAGUUUGCACUCAUGUAGAGCACCACACAGUGUAUGUCCACAUAGCAGUUGCUAGUUAAAAGCAGCAAUAAUAAUCUCAUUUAGGACAUUGUCUUCUAUAAUUGUUUUUCUUGUAGGAAUCCUCAUUUGCUCAAACCAUAGAUCAUACAAGGUUGCUCACUGCAAAGAAUUACCAGAAAAAUACUAAUAUCCUUUCUGAGAACGUGACACAUGUUAAGUGUUUGAGAAAACCAUGAUGUGUCUAGUCAGUCUCAGGUAUCCCGACCUUUGCAAACCAGAUGCCUGGCAUGCACGGAUAUUCCAGCCUCGGAGUUGAGGCACGGAGAAGAAUGAGGUAUUACAGCUCCAGGAAGAACUGAUGCUGCUGCCUCCCUUGAAGCUGGGUGUGGCCAUGUCCACUUUAAACCAAUGAUAUACAAGCUAUGCUACAUGGAUCUUCUGAGAAAUCUCCUUCUUCCUUUCUUCAGGCUAGAAUAUACAUGCACGUUGCAUACAAUACACAAUAUACAUGCUUCAAGAUACGAUAGCUAGAGACUGUCUUCUCUUUUGCACAGGCAAUCAGUCAAGAAGAAUCAAUGAAUUUACCUUAGGCUCAUAUAAAUAAAACCUCAGUUUCUCUUACAGACUCCAACCUUCACUUAAUACUUACCACAGAACUCCUGUUUUGUUCAUUUGUACAUCACCUUCCCAAGACAGGAAAUUUUUUAAAUUAAUAUUUUCUACUAUUCCUUGAAAGUUAGAUGUUUUAAAAUCUAUUUUCAUAACAAUGGUUCACAGUGCUUUUGCUUAUUCUUUAAAUUAUUUAAAUUUUAAGAUCCUGUGUAUCUAUUUGUGUAUGUCUGUUGUUAUGUGCGGGCACUAUUUUAUAACGUGAUCUUAAACAUAACUUCAAGUAACAAGAAGCAUCUAAAAUACUAUGCAGUGACGUCUAGCACCUCAGACAAUAUCAUACCUUAGAAUGCAGUCAUCGAGUCUUGAGGACUUAACUACACUUUCCUUCCACUGUGGUUUCCCACGUUGUAAUGUAGUGUUCAUUCUCUGUCAUCAGUGCUUAAGUAAAUGCUUUAA